GUAAUUCUACGGUGUUGGUGACUGCCAAUAAUGUUUUGUGAUCUACAAGCCGCGCCUGAGGGAACCAAGCACUCCAAUGGCAGUAAACCGGGCUUAGUACCCGGAAACUUUAGAUUGGGGAUAGAGGUACCCACUUGAUUUUUUGCGGUCCAAAACUGAGGUAAAACGGCACCGUAGAAUCCUC
rfam:Gloeomargarita lithophora Alchichica-D10 chromosome.